CAUUAAUUUCUUUUUUUUUAGUAACAAGAAUUGGUAUUCCAGUACAUCACUGAACUAGAAGAACAAUGUAUGUUUGACACGUUUUCCUACCUAGUUUUAUAUUUUCUUUUGUGAGAAUAGCAUCCCUUUUUACAGCAAGAAAUUUAAUAAAAAUGUUUAUAUAUUUAGUACAGUUUACAGAAACGUAUUUAUCUGUUGUGGCGGGGGCGGCACGUGAUAGAAAUAAGGCGUAUACAUCAUAUCCUCAAUACCCACUAUAGGUGUCGCCCUAGGUACUAGAGAUCGCACGGUCCCAUACAAACUCCUGUUAUGACGGCUGCUUCCAUAUAAAUUUAUCAUUUCACUCAAGCAGUCAAACGCACAUUCACAAAAAAAAGUUUCACUUGAAAAAGUUGCGAAUAUUUGCACAGAUUAUCUGUCACGCGCGAAGUUAAUUGAAUUAUUGUAAGUAGAACUUAUUUUUAAAAAUAAAAAAAUAAGCUACCGGAAA